rnacentral:lncRNA from 1 species
GAGAGUCUUAGUAAGUCACAUCUCUUAGGAUUUUAGGGCAUUGCCUGAUGUAAAGCCUAGGAUCCAAGACUGUUACUAGCUGCUUACAUUUCUUUUUUCUGUCAAUUGAGAUGCCGUUCCUUUAGGUGCUUUACAAGGGGGCUUCCACCUUUUAAGGAUGCUUGAGAAUUUCAGGAUAGACCAGUGAUGUGGAAGUCAACACUAGUUAGUUCACGUUGUAAACACCCGGAGGAGUGGAGCCAGGAGACCGUGUCACAGGAGUCAGCCCUGCCUUCUCGCAGCCCUAGUUCCUUAAUUAUAAAACUAGGAGCUUGAAAUAAAUCAUCUUAGACGUCUGAGCCCUGCUUUGGAGCAAUAUCAGUCUAUAGAUUCAACAUAGAAUAAUCCUGCCUCUGAGUGAAAAGUAACAUACGAAGUGACUCACAAUUAUGGGAACUGGUUUUGAACUAAUCGUCAAUCCCUUUCCUUCAGUUUGUGUAAUAUAUUGAGUUGUGUUUCAUCCAGCAGAAGACUUCUCUGACAUUUUCCAGGUAAUCCUUUAUAACAGACUGGUUCCACCUCCCAGGUUUCUUGUGCUUCUCUUUUCACCCAUUUCCUGUGAUGUUCCCUCCCUGAACAGAACACAUUGUAGAAUUGGUGAACAAGUUAGUGUCAGGACCCAGAAAACCAGACACGACGCUUUGCUGAUCAGCAGAUAUGAAGUGGUACAUGUCUCUUAACUGAUUUGUUCCAUACUUUUUUUCUGUAGAAUAAAACUUGAAGUUAUCUUAGUUCUCAAGAAAUGUAGUUCUG